UAACACGUUGACCGCUAACAAUAUUAUGAGCUAAGCCCCUGUGACGCAUUUCCACGCGCGAUGCGUGUGUUGCGCAUAUGCGUAGCGACAAAUAGAGUUUCCCAUCAGCUGUGCGGCCAAACACACUAGCGGUGUUGAAUUUUUCGCAACGACAGUGCGCCAACCCACGCCAGCGGUGUUUACGAUGUUCCGUAACGGCAGUGCGCUUCGCCCACGCCAGCGGUGUUCCCAAUAUUCCGUAUCGCCAGUGCGCACAACACACGACGAGCGUAAUUUUAAAACCUUACGAAUAUGCUCAUUUCAAACAGAUGUGUGUUUUUUUUCUUCUCGUUUUCAGGAAUAAAAAGUAUCCCAAUCGAUAAAGCAAAUUAUCAUGAAUAAAAUAUGUUUAGAGAAAAAAUGUCCCAGGGGUCAUAUUUUCCGAGAUAAUUGGACUGGAACAUUUCAAACUAUUCUGAUUUAUUAUAGAUUACAUAGUAUUUUUAUGUAGUAUUCUAGCGAGAAAAUACAGGAAUAUUGAAAAAAAAAUCGAGUCAAUUUAAUAAUUUCUCGUGAUCAUCAAUUUGUGAGUAGUUUUCAAUAUCAGGUAAAUUAAUCUGCUGUAAUUAUUGGAAAGUUAUUUUUUUAUCCCAAAAAAUAUAUUGCUUUCUUAGUAGCUUUACAUCAAUAAGACUGGUUUUUAUUCUUUAUUCUCCAAAUAGAGUAAAGUAACACGUGCGCAUUUCUAAGAAAAUUUUAGAAUUUAUGACAUGUACGCCAUAAAAUACAAUUUGCCGAAAUUUUCUGAGAAAUGAACACGUGUUACUUCGACAAAUUAUAUUUUAUGGCAUAUAUGCCAUAAAAUUGCCAAAAUUUUCUUAGAAUUACACACUAUUUCUUAGAGUUACUUUUUUGUAUGGUUGCACAUUGUUACACCCCCAACGCAUUGUUCAGACACUUCUAACAUCGAACAAAUUGUUUAUCAGUGCGCAAUUUUUAUCCAAAUAUAACAUUAUUUAUACAAUACUAUUAUAGUCUAUCCUUUCAUUUCUUAAAUCAAAUAAAUUUUUACAAAAAUUACAUUUUUGGACAAGCUUUUAUGUUUUCCCCAAGUUCGUGCCAACCGUUUAAAAGUGUUCUUGUUGAGAAUCGACUCUGGUUACAAUCUAAUAUCAAAGUACUCAACCAAGUAAGCCCAAACUCGAUGGGGUUGUGUCGUUUCAUUACGGAGUUCCUAUGGCCACCUUCCAGCUUCAUCAUCAGGCUUUUGGUACCAUAUAGUCUCAAAGCACUCAUAAAGACGAAUCAAACGAGCCCAAACUCGAUGGGGUUGUGUCGUUUCAUUACGGAGUUCCUAUGGCCACCUUCCAGCUUCAUCAUCAGGCUUUUGGUACCAUAUAGUCUCAAAGCACUCAUAAAGACGAAUCAAACGAGCCCAAACUCGAUGGGGUUGUGUCGUUUCAUUACGGAGUUCCUAUGGCCACCUUCUAGCUCCAUCAUCAGGCCCUGGGUACCAUAUAGUCUCAAAGCACUCAUAAAGACGAAUCAAACGAGCCCAAACUCGAUGGGGUUGUGUCGUUUCAUUACGGAGUUCCUAUGGCCACCUUCCAGCUCCAUCAUCAGGCUUUUGGUACCAUAUAGUCUCAAAGCACUCAUAAAGACGAAUCAAACGAGCCCAAACUCGAUGGGGUUGUGUCGUUUCAUUACGGAGUUCCUAUGGCCACCUUCCAGCUCCAUCAUCAGGCUUUUGGUACCAUAUAGUCUCAAAGCACUCAUAAAGACGAAUCAAACGAGCCCAAACUCGAUGGGGUUGUGUCGUUUCAUUACGGAGUUCCUAUGGCCACCUUCCAGCUCCAUCAUCAGGCCCUGGGUACCAUAUAGUCUCAAAGCACUCAUAAAGACGAAUCAAACGAGCCCAAACUCGAUGGGGUUGUGUCGUUUCAUUACGGAGUUCCUAUGGCCACCUUCCAGCUCCAUCAUCAGGCUUUUGGUACCAUAUAGUCUCAAAGCACUCAUAAAGACGAAUCAAACGAGCCCAAACUCGAUGAGGUUGUGUCGUUUCAUUACGGAGUUCCUAUGGCCACCUUCCAGCUCCAUCAUCAGGCCCUGGGUACCAUAUAGUCUCAAAGCACUCAUAAAGACGAAUCAAACGAGCCCAAACUCGAUGGGGUUGUGUCGUUUCAUUACGGAGUUCCUAUGGCCACCUUCUAGCUCCAUCAUCAGGCCCUGGGUACCAUAUAGUCUCAAAGCACUCAUAAAGACGAAUCAAACGAGCCCAAACUCGAUGGGGUUGUGUCGUUUCAUUACGGAGUUCCUAUGGCCACCUUCCAGCUCCAUCAUCAGGCUUUUGGUACCAUAUAGUCUCAAAGCACUCAUAAAGACGAAUCAAACGAGCCCAAACUCGAUGGGGUUGUGUCCUCUCAUUACUGAGUUCCUAUGGCCACCUUCCAGCUCCAUCAACAGAUCAGCUCUUUGUCAUAAUAAUAUUGCAUGGUCAUCCGAUUUAUACAUGCGUGUAAAAUUUCAGCUCAAUCGGAAACCGGACUAACUUGCACGAUUUGAUUACAAACGGGACUGGUGAAAGUAAACAAAAGCUUGUAAAAUACGUUAGUUAGAAGUUGUGGUGUAUGGUUCCGCCCUAUAAUAGCACCACUCCAACCCUCCUGAGGAAAUCAUACUACAGGCGAAAACGGCAGGCAGGCGGCCGGCUUUAUAAUCAUAGUCAAAUCUUAAAAAACAUCCGUCAAAAUGGUUUUUUUUCUAUGUCUAUAGUACUACCAUAACUAAUUUAAUUAAUUAUUUUUCCUAUAUAUGGAGAGAUGCAUGGAAAUCAGGCGACUCGAAAACAUGAGAUCCCUGCACCUCUCAAAAAUUCAUUGGUAAUAAAUAUAAUCAACCUUAAGCCUACUAUUUACAGUUAACUACGAUUACUGCUCAGAGACUAUAUACUUAUUGCACAAACGAAACCAUAGCGCGUUUUAAUUUCGUUCAUCGCCAUCUAUCGCGGACAUUGGAAUAUACUAGCUGUUUAGUCGCAGGUGCAGAAUUAAAAUUUGAACUUAAUUCAUUUAAUUAAUUAUUAGUUCCAUAUUUAAUUAAUUAUAAUUAUAUACAGUAAUUAGGUACAUACUUCAUUUCAGUUUGAAUAACACACCUAAAUUAACAUACAUGCACGUAAAGUUUCAGCAAUCAGAAAGUGGAUCAAAUUUAACUUGCAAGAUUUAAUUACAGACAGACAACGGAACAGGUUGAAAAAUAGUAUAAUAAUAAGCUUGUAAAAUACGUAAGUUGGUUCCGCCCUAUAAUAGGACCACUCUAUAUUCUCCCAUGGAAAUCGUACGACGUGAUUAAGGGACACAAAGCCUUGGCAACUGAUAGGCAGUAACCGAUUUCCCAUGAAGGGUUAACGUCAAGAAGGCGGCCGGUUGUAAAAUCAUAGUCAUCUUCAAAAUUUAGGUUUAUUUUUACGCUGACCGGGAACACGCGAAGAUGUGUGAGUGAAGUCUUUUUGUAUAGGUAGCACAUAGAAGAAAAAAACAUCUUGAAGUAGAGUGUAUAAGUAAUUACUUAUUUUUCCUUUAUAUGGAGAGGUGCAUGGAAAUCAGGUGAUCCCAGAAACGUGAGAUCCCUGCACCUCUCAAAAAUUCAUUAAUAUUUACAACUAUAUACAUUAACUCAGACUCCUGUUUAAAGAGAGUAUAUAUUGUUACACAAACGAAACCAUAGCUAGUUUUAAUUUCGUUCACCGCCAUCUGCCGGGGACAUUGGAAUAUUUAUUUAUUUACUCAAUAUGUUAAGAAAAUAUAUACUAGCUGUUAAUCUAUGAAAUCCUUCGUUUUUUGUUUUAAACUUAAACGCACCACGAUUGCGAAGAAUCUUAUUUGGUCGUAAAUAUUCAACUAUAUUGAAAAUUGGCGCUCUUUGCCACCAUUAGCAUGUUUAUUUACCGAAGUUGUACCAGUAGAUCUGCGCCGAACUUUGCGUAAUAUUGCCUAUUAGGUACAUACUUUAUUUCAUUUUGAAUAACACAAGAAAAUUACACACAUGAUGAUGAACACACGAAAACACAGCGCGUUUUAACUGACUCCAUCUGCUGGGUAUAUUGGAACUUUGUAUUUGUUAAAAAUUAGUGAAAAGGUUCUGCUGCUAAACGAUAGGUGGCGUGACAGUAAAAUAUAAGAAUUGUAGAAAAUUACUAAAUAAAUAUUUACAAGAUCAUCGUCAUCAUUAUCAUUAUGUAUUUUUUUGCAUUUAAAAAACAUUUUCAGUAUUAAAAACAGCAUUUACCGAAAUGAAGAUCCGCACCCCAGUGUACAACCACGAAGUUCCUGUCAAUGUCAUUUUUUUUGAGGGUCGGACGGAUUAUCAAUUCUAUGGAGAUUAUAUAGAGCGCCGCUAUCCAACUUGAUUUGAACAUAUUUGCUACAUGGAUAAAAAAUUCAGAGUAAAAUAAAGUUAACAAAUCUAAAUACAAGCAUGUUCAAAAUGUUAUUAAUCUAAAUUACCUUAUUGUAUAAAAAAUAUCAGAGUAUGAUUGGUUAUAGACUAAGUUUACAUCACCACAUCACUAACUAAGAAGCCUGGUCAUAUGUUCACCACAAACUGUCAAUAUUCGUGUAUCAACGUGUCCCAUUUUUUUUGUCAUAUCAGCGGUCUAGUAGUAGUAGGUCUUCUGUUGUCAGGAUACGUCAAAUACAGAAAGUGCGUGGCUUGGUUUGGUUACUUCUACGCGUGGCUUGGGCAGCGUGAGAUACUUUGUGAAGUAAGUUACUACCUACCUUAUUUUUGAUAUUUAUAACUGAAAGUAGUUAUUCUAUAGUUGUAGUUAUGUGAUGUGUAAAACUUAUUUAGCUGUUUUUUUCCAGACUUGGAAAAGACAACAGAAAGAAAGCAAAUAUGGCUUCCGAGGACGAGAGGUACGUACCUACCUAACCAAAUAUUCUUAUCAAUUUUUAGAAUUACUUAUCUAACAUGAGCUACCUAUCUAUCUAAUAAGAGAUUGUGUUUUCAUGUCUUUCAAGGAUCGAAACAGCAUCAAAACAGGUACCUAUUAUUACAAUGAAAAGCGUGGUUUUGGGGCUCGAUUGUUUUGCUUUUAAAACUUACUACCUACCUAUCUCACGAGUUUCGACUAACUCAUGCACAGAUGCAUUAUAAUAACAAAUAAGUACCUACCUUUUAAAAUAUUGUUUGUGUUAAAACUCACGUUUUGUGCUUUUUGGCAUGACACGAAACUGCUAGCUUGAGAAGGUUGUUUGGGUAUAUGUCUGUGUUCCUCAUUGUGCAUGACCAUCUCAUGCACCAGCUCGAAUGAAAAACCUAGCUAUAUUACCUAUUAAUAAAUUAUUGCAGAACAACAUUAUUGCCAACAAGUGGCGAUGCGGCCACGAGGGCCGGAACGUGGUGGUGGCGCGCGUGGCGGGCUCUAACCGGGGGGCUUUGCCGAAAAUGGAGCACGGCACCCCAAGAGGAGGAGGAUGAUGCGGCCGCGUUUGCGCAGGCAGCGCUGGACUAUCUGGAGGCUGUUGGGCGUAGUCGCCAGCGCCUCUAUAAGCGGCUGCGCCUUCCUGAAGUGGAAAACCUUCCACCCGCCCGGCGCCUGCCACUUACAUCCGCCCAAAUGGCCGAAAUAAACGACCUAUGGUCAAAAACUGUUGCAGCCGCCGAGAGUCGCGUUGCAGCGCGUCUAAAUAAAUUAGGGAGCUCUGUCCACUAAAAUUUUGUCUGGUUAGUUAUCUUUACUAUAAAUUGCAAUCCUAAUUCAUGCACAGUUUGUAAAUCGAUCUAGCUAUUUUCGGGAAUAUGAUGAAUACAGUACAGUACAAUACAGUAUAUAUAUCAUAUCUCCGAACACAGCUGGAUCAAUAUAUAAACUGCAUAAUAAAUUCUUGCAAUUUAUACUAAAGAUAACUAACUAAGAUUAUAAUUCUAGUUAGGACAGAGCUCCCAAAGUUGAUUAUUAAUGAACUUAAAAUUAAAAUAUAUUGAAAAACAAAUUGUCAUUUCUUUUUACUACCCUUUGUUUUCACAUAACUUUGACAUAAACAUCAUGCCAGCUAUACCUCUACACUAUCGCCGAAGUCAUUGCGUAGUUCGUAUGAGAGCUUUUAUAUAUCGCAAGAUGAAAGCAGCAAUGUCCGCCAAAAUCGCCAACUACAUUGUUGGUUUUUCAUUGCAGUAAAUAAAAUCUCUACAAACUAGGCAAUGUUCAUACAAUCGCGUCGCUAUCUGUCCGAUUCGAUGAUAGUGUGAGCCUACAUAUAAUCAUUAGGUAUCUACUAUGCAAAUUGAAAAUUGGCUAGAAGGUUCUGCUGUUAACAAUAGAUGGCGUGGCAGGAAGUUUAGGAAAUUACGUAAAAAAUAUUUUCGAGUCACAAUAAUGAUUAUUAUAACUACUCAACCGAUUUUGAGGAAAUUUGCCACAGAGACAGACGAAACAUCCAGGUGUGACAUAGGCUACUUUUUUAUUUAGAAAAGUUGACCCCAUGGUAAAAUUUGAAAAUUUAUAUGAAAAAAUGUUUUGUACUCUUAACUCCGGAAAUACUGUACGAACUUUAAUAAUUUUAUACUUUAAAACUGGCUUGCUGCAAUUUAUAUCUUGAAGUGUGAAGCUGGCGUAAAAAGUAUAAAUUUAUGAUUUAUUUUAUGUAAAAUUCCAAUCCAAAUAUUUUGCUAAUAAUUCCCUUAGAUGGCGGUGUUACUUUUUGAAACGCGAUAUGGUUUCGUUUUCUCAAGAAGCUAAGUACCUGGUUCACUUACGACUUUUUAACCUUUGUAAAUAUUG